rnacentral:rRNA from 1 species
UACGGAGGGAGCUAGCGUUGUUCGGAAUUACUGGGCGUAAAGCGCGCGUAGGCGGCUUUGUAAGUUAGAGGUGAAAGCCCGGAGCUCAACUCCGGAACUGCCUUUAAAACUGCAUCGCUUGAAUCCGGGAGAGGUGAGUGGAAUUCCGAGUGUAGAGGUGAAAUUCGUAGAUAUUCGGAAGAACACCAGUGGCGAAGGCGGCUCACUGGACUGGUAUUGACGCUGAGGUGCGAAAGCGUGGGGAGCAAACAGG